rnacentral:misc_RNA from 1 species
AAGUCGUAACAAGGUUUCCGUAGGUGAACCUGCGGAAGGAUCAUUACCUAGAGUUGUAGGCUUUGCCUGCUAUCUCUUACCCAUGUCUUUUGAGUACCUUCGUUUCCUCGGCGGGUCCGCCCGCCGAUUGGACAAUUUAAACCAUUUGCAGUUGCAAUCAGCGUCUGAAAAAACUUAACAGUUACAACUUUCAACAACGGAUCUCUUGGUUCUG